GGACCGGGAGCUGCGGCUGCCCCAGGGCCCCGGGCGCGCGCGGUGCGCCGGCUGGGGCGGGGAGGGCCUCGGCGAGUGGGAGUCGCGCGGGGAGGGACGCGUUGGGCCAGGGCGGUCGUUGCCGGUCUUCCUGUCCGGGGACUGGAGGUGCCGCCCGCAUCACCGAGACCUUCUCUUUUGUGGCGUGAGGGAUUCCCUUCCCCUCUCGGCAGGCAUCCCCUCGGAGCCUGCCGACGCGCACGGGCGCCGUUUCCCGGCGUGUCUGUGGACGAAGCCCCUCUUCGCCUCUCUCUCUGCACCAGCAGCCGGACACCCCCAGUUCAGCGUGUUCGUCCCCUCCCCAGUUCCGAGGGCUCUUCUUUCUCCUCCUCUCCCUCGCAUUGAGAAGGAGAUUCCCCUGCCCGCGGUGUGCGGCCAUCCUCACCCACGCCAGACCGGCUUCCCUGGUGCCCUUGUUCCCCACUUCACCCUGGGUGUGCGGGGUCGACAGCUGGGAGCCAGCCCUUGCGUGUUCCCAGUGCAGGGGCCAGCGACGCCCUCAGCCCAAAGCAGGGGCCCGGCUUCCGUGGGGGAAAGGGGGUGCUGCCAGCCUCAGCCCAGGUGGAUGGGGCGUUUGUUUCCAAGAGGCAAAGAGGGGAGACUUUACCCUGAAACAAAGAAUCGAGGCCAACCCGGACUGUCCGAGCCUCCUGGAAGACUGAAGAAUCUCAGCUUCUGGACGGGAGGAAAUUAACAGUGGACUAGAAAGGAAGAGGCAAUAAGAAACAGCCAGUGGAGACAGAGAAGGCAAACUUUUGAUUUUUGCAUUGUGUGGUGUGGCAAUCUUAUUUGUAAUCGUCCAAUUAGCUAUUUUGUAAAAGGAUCAUAUUUGAGAAAAUCAGCCUUUACCCAGCUCGGUACAACUUAAGCCUGCAGACAAUGAACGGUUAUGAUUUGUUUCCUCAUCGUGAAAAGACAGAGGAUGUAGAUUUUAGAUUUUUCUAUCUGCAGAAUGAUCCUUUCCAGCUAAGUGCCCCUCACUGGAGCAGC
rnacentral:lncRNA from 1 species